rnacentral:lncRNA from 1 species
CCAUCUUUAAUGCUAUUUACUCUAUUUAUUUAAUUUAAAUCAAGUAGCAAAACAAGAUAUUUUUACCCAUUUGAAAAGGGCUAAAAGGGUCCUAAAAAAAGCUCGAGAAGAGCAACAAAUGAGUCUAUUCACCAUAAUUAUUACGCCAAUUGUGAAUUCUCAUGCUUAAUCAAAUUAUCAUGAUGAUACUUUGGUUAUUGAUUGGUGUGUUGAAAUUCACUAUCAUUUCUUAAAGAUAAACAGCAAGCAUGCCUUAAUAAAUUGCCAUGUGUAUGAUGUAAUUAAGUUGUUUGAUCUUCAAAGAAUCGGCAGCUCAAUAGAUGUAGAAGCUAAUGUAGACCUUUGGUACCUGGCGUUAUGGGAAUAUCUUCCAAGUACAUUAAAGAUACUCGAAAGAUCCCCAAAAUACCUACUUAGCCAAACAUCCAUACUCAAAGCUAAAGACGAUAUAACCAACUAGAUGUCAAAUUAAACUUAUUAUUAAAGUCAAAUACAAAUGAAAACAAGAAUGUUGGGACAACAUUGCAUAAAAAGAUAAGUCAGGUGCACCAAAUGGAAAAGCAUAGCAUGAAUGCAGAAAACGAGUUUCAUAUACAAUUAAAAGAGUGUUAGCAGAUGAAAAGUUAUGCAAAACACAGUUGCACAACAGACAAAUCAUCUUCUUCACCAUUUUUUUAGAUGGGGGGAUCAACAAAAGUUGUAGAGGUGGCAUAGGCGUGAGCUUUAGUACCAGAAACAUUUAAUGGGAGCUUUAGUUGGGGUAUACCAAAUACACCAGGUGACCUCUGUGGACUGCUAGAUUGGGAUGUACAGGACCCUUAAUGACCUCGAUUGUUGCUAUGAUAAUUGAUUUGUCUACCAUCCUAAGCACUGUCAGCACCAGAUCUGUACCCUAUACUUCGACCAUUAUGCAUUUCUUUUACCUAGACAAUAUACCUUCAUACUUGGUCUGCAGCAUUUCAAGAUCUUUAGUCACCUAAAUUUGCUCCUCAAACAGAUCAUCGAGGCAUCCCUUCAAGGCUUUAUUUUCCUAAGCAGGGCUUCUCUUCAUACAACUUGUGGUUUUGGAUUUUACCUUAUAACUUUACCACGAUCGCUUGAGCAUUGGGGGCAGCUAUGGAAUCUUGGAAGAUAUGACUCAACAAAAAAGUUAUCUACAAUCAACAUGUUAAAGUAUGAGCUUUAAACUGAUUUCCAGAAGAUCAACCGUCAUGUCAGUUCGUGGUCUUGUUGGUAUACGACAAGUCAGCGGAAAAGGAUACAAGCCUGUAUGACAAACUUUGGUCGUCAGCCAAAGCUUUAAGUGAAAGCACGUAAAUAUCACGUGCUACCACUUACUCUGAACGGCAUAAAAGAAUGUCGUUUUGAGGCUUAAUGUUAGCAAGAAUUCAACACGUGUCCUGAAAGUUGUUAAAGUCAGUUACAAUAGGCGGGAGAAAUCUGGGAUUGUUAGCCAACAAACCCAGAUUACAGCUGUUUGACAGGGGGUCUUCGUGAGAGCUCUUAAGCUAGUAUAAGUAGUCUUGGAGUCUGGGAAAUCAGAGGGUGUAUUGCUUGUAACUUCGUCUUCAUACUUGAAACUUGUUCUUGGCUAUUGAAUAAAAGCUGUUGCUCUGUUCUUCAGUGGAUGUAGGCUGCCUCCAGCCGAACCACUUAUAUUUUGUUGUUCUUUGUGUAUUGUUUCUGUUUGAUUUCUUUGAGUGAAUUGAUUAAACCAUUCAUUAGAUCCUGAUUAGAGAGUUCAGUUAGAUCCUAGAGAGUCUUGAUUGGAUAUUAAGUCUGGUCUAGGUUCAACAAAUUGGUAUCAGAGCUAUAUCUCUGAUCUUUGAUCCAAGAAAUGGGAACCUCCAAGUUUGAGGUAGAAAAAUUCACUGGAGAAAACGACUUUCAUCUAUGGCGGCUCAAGAUGAGAGCUCUGUUGGUUCAUUAGGGACUGGAGGAGACUUUGGGUGAUCCAAGAUCUGAAAAGAAACCCAACAAGCUUUCUGAUGAAGAAAUGCGAGAUGCUUUAGAUAAAGCUCAUAGCACACUAAUCUUGAGUCUGGGAGAUGGAGUUCUCAGGGAAGUGGGAGACCAAACUACUGCUGCAGGCCUCUGGAAAAAACUUGAAGACCUAUAUACCAAGAAGUCUCUAACCAAAAGACUUUGUACUAAAAAGAGGCUGUAUACUUUGCAAAUGGAGGAAGGAAGCUCCUUGGCAACUCACAUUGAUAACUUUAACAAAAUCAUCUUGGAUCUUGAAGAUAUCAAUGUGAGUCUUGAGGAUGAAGACAAGGCAAUAAUCUUGUUAUCAUCUCUCCCACCAUCAUAUGAACACUUUGUAGAUACACUGCUUUAUGGAAGGCAGUCAAUAUCAAUGGCUGAUGUAAAGGAUUCUCUCAGCUCUAAAGAAGUCACAAAGAAGGCAGAAACAAAAGCUGGGGAAGGUCUGAUGGCAAGAGGAAGACCUGAGAAGAAAGAUUACAACAAAGGGAAGAAAAGAGACAAGUCAAAGUCCAAGAAUAAAAAUCUGAAAUGCUUUCACUGUCACAAGGAAGGGCAUUUCAAGAGGGACUGCCCAGAUAGAAAGAACAAGGGAAAUGAAGGCAUGGGAAGAAUGGUGAUGCUGCUGUUGCAUCAGAAGAUGAAGGCUAUGACUCAGCUGGUGUCCUUUUGGCUUCUGAAACUCAGACAAACAGUAAGUGGAUUCUUGAUUCUGGAUGUUCAUAUGUGUCCUGAUCAAAAUCUUUUUACUACUUAUAAUGCUUUUAAUAGAGGUGAGGUUCUGAUGGGGAAUAACACAAUGUGUAAGGUUGUUGGGUUAGGAACCAUUAGAUUUAAGAUGUUUGAUGGGAUGAUUAGGGAGCUAAGAGAUGUGAGGCAUAUUCCUGAUCUAAAAAGGAAUUUAAUAUCUCUAGGCACUCUAGAUCAAAUUGGAUGCUCCAUUAAGGUUGAAUCUGGAGUAAUGAAGGUUGUUAGAGGGUCUAUAGUGGUUAUGAAAGGGAAUAAGCAAAAUAGCUUAUAUGUGCUUCAAGGCACUGCUGUAACUGGGGAUGUUAGUAUCUCAGCAAGUCUGGGUUUGGAUAAAACUCUCAUAUGGCAUCUAAGGUUAGGACAUAUGAGUGAAAAGGGGCUAAAAAUUCUAGAAAAACAGGGAGUCUUAGGGGAUGAUAAGUUGGGGUCUUUGGAGUUCUGUGAGGUAUGUGUCCUAGGCAAGUCCUCAAGAACUAGUUUCAAAACUGCAAUGCAUAACACAAAAGGGACCCUAGAUUACAUCCAUUCAGAUCUGUGGGGACCAUCACAGACUGUCUCUCUAGGUGGAGCAAAAUACUUUCUCUCUUUUAUAGAUGAUUACUCGAGGAUGGUAUGGGUUUAUGUCUUGAAAGGUAAGGAUGAAGUCUUCGAGAGGUUCAAACAAUGGAAAGCAUUGAUGGAAACUCAGAGUGGUAGGAAGAUUAAGAGACUGAGGACUGAUAAUGGGCUUGAAUUCUGCAACAAACAGUUUGAUGAUUUCUGCAAACUCAAUGGCAUAGCAAGACACAAAACAAUGAGUUACACUCCACAGCAGAAUGGGCUAGCAGAAAGAAUGAAUAGGACUUUGAUGGAUAAAGUCAGAUGUUUACUGAUCCAUUCAAAGCUUCCUCAAACACUAUGGGCUGAAACUUUGAUGACAGCAUGUUAUCUAGUGAAUAGAAGUCCAUCCAGUGCCCUAAACUUCAAGACACCAGUAGAGACGUGGUCAGGAAGGGCAGCAAAUUAUUCAAAUCUUAAGAUUUUUGGUUGUCUAGCUUAUGCACAUGUCAAGCAAGGGAAGCUGGAGCCAAGAGCACUGAAAUGUGUAUUCCUGGGUUAUCCUGAAGGUGUCAAAGGUUAUAAACUUUGGUGCACUGAAAUGAAGCCACCAAAGUGCAUAGUCAGCCGAGAUGUAGUCUUCAAUGAGUCAGAGAUGUUAAUGAAAGGACAUCAAAAGGAUCCUGCUAAACCAAAAGGAGGACUUGACUCACAGGGACAACAUUUGAAGGUGGAGUUUAAAGGAAAAUCAGCUCUGGGCUACCAUGAUGAAGCUGAAGACAUGGAGAAAGAAGAUGCUGAAGAUAUCAGUGAAGCUUCUGGAACUCAUACAGAUAUUCAAGACUAUCAACUGGCAAGAGACAGACAAAGGAGAGUUAUCAAAACACCUAAGAGGUUUGCAUAUGCAGAUUUGAUUGCAUAUGCACUAACAGCAGCCCAUGAACUAGACAAUGAUGAGCCCAAAACCUACAGAGAAGCUGUUUCAGGAAAGGAUGCAGAUAAAUGGAUAAAAGCUAUGAAGGAUGAAAUAGAGUCAUUACAUAAAAAUAACACCUGGAAGCUUGUAAAAAGGCCAGAAAAUAAAAGGGUAAUAGGCUGUAAAUGGGUUUACAAGGUCAAGCAGGGUAUACCAGGGGUUGAAUCCAUGAGAUAUAAAGCUAGGCUAGUUGCCAAAGGCUACACACAGAGAGAGGGGAUUGAUUUCACAAAAGUCUACUCACCUGUAGUUAGACAUACCUCAAUAAGAAUGAUCCUAGCUCUGGUUGCAGUUCAUAGCAUGCAUCUUGAACAGAUGGAUGUUAAGACUGCAUUUUUACAUGGUGAGCUUGAAGAACAAAUAGUAAUGUCUCAACCUGAAGGCUUUGAAGACCAGUCAAAUGGUGAUUGGGUAUGCCUUAUGAAGAAAUCACUUUAUGGCCUCAAGCAGUCCCCAAGACAGUGGUAUCUUAGGUUUGACAGCUUUAUGAUGAAACUUUGUUUUCAAAGGUGUAAUCUAGACUGCUGUGUUUAUUACAAAGAGAUAUCAGGGGAUAUGGUUUAUCUAAUUCUGUAUGUGGAUGAUAUGCUCAUUGCCAGCAAAAGCAUGGAACAUAUAAACUUUCUGAAACAACAACUCAAAGGUGAAUUUGAGAUGAAGGAUCUGGGACCAGCUAAAAAGAUACUUGGAAUGCAGCUGAUCAGAGACUGGAAAUCUGGCACUUUGUUUCUUACACAGGAGGAAUAUAUCAGGAAAGUACUUGAUAAGUUUGACAUGACUACUGCCAAACCAGUGCAAACACCAUUACCAGCUCACUUCAGAUUAUCAGAACAGCAGUGCCCAACAGCUGAUAUUGACAAGUCUGAAAUGAUAAAGAUACCUUAUGCAAGUGUUGUAGGCUGCUUAAUGUAUGCCAUGGUGCUCACCAGACCUAAUAUAGCACAUGCAGUCAGUGUGGUCAGUAGGUAUAUGUCCAAUCCUGGAAAAGAACAUUGGAAGGCUAUAAAGUGGAUACUCAGGUAUCUAAGGGGAACUUCUGGGCAUGGUCUGAUAUAUGGGGGACAGAGAAGAGAUGACAGUUUAAUUGUGGGAUAUGUGGAUGCUGAUUAUGCAGGGGACUUGGAUAGAAGAAGGUCUUUAACUGGUUAUCUUUUCACAUUCAACAAUUGCACAAUAAACUGGAAAUCACAGCUACAGAGUGUAGUGGCCUUGUCCACAACUGAAGCAGAGUACACAGCUGCUGCUGAAGCCAUAAAAGAGGCAAUAUGGCUGAAGGGUAUGUUGAAGGAGCUUGGAGUCAAUCAGAGGUCUGUGGUGAUACAUUGUGAUAGCCAAAGUGCUAUAUGCCUAAGCAAGAAUCAAACACACCAUGAAAGAACCAAACACAUUGACAUUAAGGUGCACUUUAUCAGGCUGGAAAUCUCAAAAGCAACUGUAAUGCUUCAGAAAAUCCAUACAGACGACAAUGUUGCAGAUAUGUUAACUAAAGCUGUUCCAGGAGCUAAAUUCAAAUUCUGUUUGGGUUUGGCUGGCAUCUGUGAUAACUAAAUUACAGAUGGUGGGAGAGAAGAGUAGCAGGUCAUGAGAGUUUUAAGCUCAAGGUGGAGAAUGUUAAAGUAUGAGCUUUAAACUGAUUUCCAGAAGAUCAACCGUCAUGUCAGUUUGUGGUCUUGUUGGUAUACGACAAGUCAGCCGAAAAGGAUACAAGCCUGUAUGACAAACUUUGGUCGUCAGCCAAAGCUUUAAGUGAAAGCACGUAAAUAUCACGUGCUACCACUUACUCUGAAUGGCAUAAAAGAAUGUCGUUUUGAGGCUUAAUGUUAGCAAGAAUUCAACACGUGUCCUGAAAGUUGUUAAAGUCAGUUACAAUAGGCGGGAGAAAUCUGGGAUUGUUAGCCAACAAACCCAGAUUACAGCUGUUUGACAGGGGGUCUUCGUGAGAGCUCUUAAGCUAGUAUAAGUAGUCUUGGAGUCUGGGAAAUCAGAGGGUGUAUUGCUUGUAACUUCGUCUUCAUACUUGAAACUUGUUCUUGGCUAUUGAAUAAAAGCUGUUGCUCUGUUCUUCAGUGGAUGUAGGCUGCCUCCAGCCGAACCACUUAUAUUUUGUUGUUCUUUGUGUAUUGUUUCUGUUUGAUUUCUUUGAGUGAAUUGAUUAAACCAUUCAUUAGAUCCUGAUUAGAGAGUUCAGUUAGAUCCUGGAGAGUCUUGAUUGGAUAUUAAGUCUGGUCUAGGUUCAACACAACAAGAUAGUGCUAGAAUUACAAAUCCAUUCAUAAUUUAAUAGGCUUUGAGACUUGACUAUAGCGUUCGCUCAAGUCUAACCUAUCCGUCGUUACUGCAGUCACUGUAGGGUAUGUUCUUGAUGGUGUAGUGCAUAAACCUAGCCAAGGGCAAGACAUUUUUUUUUGCCACUAGAUCCAGCUCUCCUUUAGCAAAAUCCCUAGGAAGAGAGUAGAAGGACCUUAAUUUUUUUUUUUUUUUGAGUGAAGUUGUUAAAGGAGGCACCCUGUCACAUAGUUAUUACUCCAGGAAAGUGAGGAGAUAAGGUGCCCUUGAAGCUGCCGGGGAAGAUGCCUUUUGAUUUAGUUCUUACUCUCUAGUUAUUACUCUAAAAUAGUGAAGAGUCGGGUACCCUUAGCGAGAGGAGUGGUACCCAAACCAUCAGAUGAGCAACCCCUCAUUUAAUUUUUAAAAAAGGUCAAAAUCCUCAGUAAAUGGGCUCACAUCUGCCAAACAUCAUGCACCCAAAUAAGAAAAGGUCAGCUAAGCAAACACUGAAGUCCUAUAAACAGAAACAAAAAAAGAAGAGUAAGAAACACAUAAAUUAUAAAUACAAAACACGAGAGACAACGAGGUAAAUAAAACACUUUGCACUCAAAGUGACUUAUCUUCAAAGGCAGACAAAGAGCUCUCUCAUCGAUCAACCUAGGUUUUCUAAUCUUUCCUCACUCAAGACGUCACUCUAUUUUUGUAAAACCAAAAUCCACUGUUCAUAAGCACUCACUUUUUUGCCCACCUCCUGAAUAAGACUUUUUUUCCUUGAUCCAUGUAACAUCUACAAGGUUACAAGGAGCCAUGGAUUGGAGGAACACUCUAAAUAAGUAAUGCAGGACAAAAGAGAAAGAAAAGAAAGGAAGGACAUUCUGUCUUCAUUGAAUGAGCUUUUGCCCUCACAUUCUUGCCAUCAGAUAGUGAAUCCCACUCCCACUUAUUAUCGGCCACAAACCAACAAGGUAGGUCCAUUUCCACUAGGUUACUAUGGGUGGCCCAAGUAGAAAAUAAGUAGCGGAUAUUGGACUUCUUCAGUUGAUAAAGCCCUCUAAACUCUCAAAGAAAAAUCUCUCUCUCCGACAGUUCUAGUCAUAACAUCUGAAGGACAGUAAGAACUUUCCAUCCAAGUAAGAAUAAUUGUCCUAAGACAAUACAGAGGUGGCUAAACAUUGUUCUGAGAAAGUGACUGGAGGGGUAGGCGAAGUCCUAGGCAAAAAAGUUAAUAUGGAGAAUUGUCUCAUCUAUCUUAAGGAAAUAUAAGGUUAAUAUAAAGAGUUAUCUCAUUUAUCCUAGGGAAAUCUAAGGUUUCAUUCUCAUUGGGCACCCUAAGAUUGAUAGAAGAAAAGAUGCUGCACUUGGUCUUAAUACGUUGUAGAUCUUGCGGGGUAGCCCUCUUACCACUUAAAGAGUGAGAUUUGUUAGAUUUAGAAGCGCAGAGAGAAGGAAAUUUAAGGAUAUAGAUUGGGAUCUAUGUUUUGGCAUUCACUUUGGAUUGACUAAUAAGGAGUUUACCUUUAGACUUAGCCCUUUGAGAAUGAGAAACCAUAUGAGAAACCCGAAGACUACUAUAACCUACACCUAUAUCAAAUGAGGACUCAAAGUCAUGACUAUUACUCUCUGAACUACUCGAGGAAGACCCCUCAUCCUCAAUAACCUCUAUAUAAGGGGUAGACUCGAAUUCAGGCAUGCUUUUGCUUAAGUUCUCUACUAUAUGAUGCCUUUUAACACUGAUCCUCUUCUUACCCAUUCUUUCAAAAGCACAACCCAAGAAUGAAAGAAAACCCACAAGUCAAAGCCCACGAAUCAAAAUCCACAAAUUAAAAUUCAACCAAAACCCACAAAUUAAUAGUUAAAAAGCAUAAAAUUAGGGAUUUAUUUCAAGAUCUCGAAUGGGAAAGCAUUAUAGCCAAGCAUAUACACAUG